ensembl:lncRNA
AAAUCAGACAGAAACUCUGUGUAAGGCCCAGGUGGACGAUAGAUGAUAACAAGUAAGACUGGUUUCUGAGUUUUACAGCUGGGGUGGACGAGGCGAAGCAUCAGGCUUUCAAAUGAAUUUAAAGUCUUACACUUUCUUAUUCUUAUAUUUUUUAUUACAGAAAAAAUAGAAACAAACAAGUGAAAUUUUUAUUUUUAAAUGGGGAAAAUAGAGUAAACAGAAUAACUUUUUUAAAAGAAAGAACACAAACUCUGAAAGAACUUUUCUACACAAUCUUCAAAUAUACGAUGCUUUACAAUCCCAUUAUUAUUAGCAGUAAACGCCCACACAAUGGAAGACAUUUCAGGAUUACAAGAUGAAUUUGAGUCUUACAGCAAAUAUUUCACUCAUUCAUCCACAGACAGUUUCAUUAUGUGGACUGAACCUUUUACUGUAAUGUUCACACUUAAAAUCUAGAAUAUAAUUAAAGCAUCUUAUCCAAUAAAGUAAUCCUAGCUCGUGCUGAAUAAAAGUAGAAAUUACCUUGGAAACAGAACUUUUCAAAUUAAGAGCUUACAUGUAAAUGCAAGAAAAUACUGAAACAUAACAUUUUCCAGAUUUCUGCCCUAAAUUUCCCACAGAAAAAGUUUCUCUAUUUUCAAACAAAGUUUCACUGCAAAUGAAUAUUUAAGGCACAAUAAAACAUUAAAUGUAUUUACACAGACAGACUUUAGUUUUUGUAAUCAUCUAGAUCAGGGGUGUCAAACUCAAAUACUCAGUGGGCCAAAAUUCAAAACUGGAACAAAGUCGCGGGCUAACGUUAAUAUUUAUUGAAAUAUAUUUAUUCCUCCAGAUAUAAGAAUGAAUCUUUUCUUAUGGACUCAAACACGUUUGCUGAAAAACUGAAUAUGGAACAAGCAAAGCUUAAUACUAAACAAUAUAUAUAUUAGCUGUAUAAUACCAGCAGGCCAGCUCUGAUAGUCAUUUGGUAUGGCUUCGCGGGCCAAAUGUAAUUAGGUUGCGGGCCAAACUUGGCCCGCGGGCCAGAGUUUGACACCUAUGAUCUAGAAGUUCACUCAAUUUGGCCAAAAACUCAUAAAAGCCAUAAUAAAAAAAGAAGAUUAAUCAGUAGAUUUUUCCACGCCCCCAUUACACUGAUCACACCAGAGUAUCUAAAAUCAUUUAAUUCUCAUGAGCGCCUGAGGUCUCGCUGUUUGUAAAGGUCUGAUUCGUUAAGCCAACUUACAGUGAAAGGGUUAAAGCACCAACCUUCACAUUACAUUUAUGCUUUGUUUUUGUAUCCAACCAUUUUAUUCACUUCUAAAUAUGAUGAUAUUUUAAUUAUAUUUCUCCUACAUAAAAACAUUAUAUGCAUUAACAGACGUCACACUCUACAACAUUUUCUUCCACCUGCCUGGAGACGUUUCCUGCAGAGGCAGCAGGUGUGACUGCUGAGCUCCGCCCACUUUAUCAGAUGCAGACUUUAGCGUCUGCUUUGUGUCCAAUCUGUAUGAAACUACAACAGGCUGAAGUUUGUGUCUCUUAUUUUAUUCUCACAGGUGCAUAAACCAGUGACAAUGUUUCAAAUAUCGAUACAAACAUGUUUUCAGAUUUAUGAUUUACUCUAAAAGUUUUAAACUUAAUUUGGUUUCCUGUAGUUUCUUAAACUGGAUCAA